rnacentral:rRNA from 1 species
AUUGAACGCUGGCGGCAUGCUUUACACAUGCAAGUCGAACGGCCGCGCCGGCUUCGGCCUGGCGGCGGGUGGCGAACGGGUGAGUAAUACAUCGGAACGUGCCCAGUCGUGGGGGAUAGCGCGGCGAUAGCCGGAUUAAUACCGCAUACGACCUGAUGGUGAAAGCGGGGGAUCUUCGGACCUCGCGCUAUUGGAGCGACCGAUGGGAGAUUCGCUAGUUGGUGGGGUAAAGGCCUACCAAGGCGACGAUCCGUAGCUGGUCUGAGAGGACGACCAGCCACACUGGGACUGAGACACGGCCCAGACUCCGACGGGAGGAAGCAGUGGGGAAUUUUGGGCAAUGGGGGAAAGCCUGAUCCAGCAAUGCCGCGUGUGUGAUGAAGGCCUUAGGGUGGUAAAGCACUUUUGGCGGGAACGAAAAGGACUGUGCCAAUACCACGGUUCGAUGACGGUACCCGGAGAAUAAGCACCGGCUAACUACGUG